UACAUGGGGUGCAAACGUUGCUCGGAAUUAUUGGGCGUAAAGCGCACGUAGGCGGUUCGUUAAGUCGGAUGUGAAAGCCCUCGGCUCAACUGAGGAAGUGCACCCGAAACUGGCGAGCUUGAGUACGAAAGAGGAUCGCGGAAUUCCCGGUGUAGAGGUGAAAUUCGUAGAUAUCAUCAGGAACACCGGAGGCGAAGGCGGCUUACUGGGGCCUUUCUGACGCUGAGGAACGAAAGCUAGGGGAGCGAACGGG
rnacentral:rRNA from 1 species